rnacentral:tRNA from 1 species
CGGGGUGUAGCGCAGUUGGUUAGCGUGCUGCGUUUGGGACGCAGAGGUCCCCGGUUCGAGUCCGGGCACCCCGA